CUUUCCCUCUUUCUUUAGGCCUAACACAUGCAAGUCGAACGGCAGCACAGUAAGAGCUUGCUCUUACGGGUGGCGAGUGGCGGACGGGUGAGGAAUACAUCGGAAUCUACUUUUUCGUGGGGGAUAACGUAGGGAAACUUACGCUAAUACCGCAUACGACCUACGGGUGAAAGCAGGGGAUCUUCGGACCUUGCGCGAUUGAAUGAGCCGAUGUCGGAUUAGCUAGUUGGCGGGGUAAAGGCCCACCAAGGCGACGAUCCGUAGCUGGUCUGAGAGGACGAUCAGCCACACUGGAACUGAGACACGGUCCAGACUCCUACGGGAGGCAGCAGUGGGGAAUAUUGGACAAUGGGCGCAAGCCUGAUCCAGCCAUACCGCGUGGGUGAAGAAGGCCUUCGGGUUGUAAAGCCCUUUUGUUGGGAAAGAAAAGCAGCAGGUUAAUACCCCGCUGUUCUGACGGUACCCAAAGAAUAAGCACCGGCUAACUUCGUG
rnacentral:rRNA from 1 species